rnacentral:ncRNA from 1 species
AAAUUCUCUGUGUUGGGGCCCUUACCCCAACUUGCACAUUAUUGAAAGCUGACUAUUGGCCAGCUUCUGUGUUGGGGCCCCGCCAACUUGCAUUGUCUGUAGAAUUUCUUUUCGAAAUUCUCUGUGUUGGGGCCCUUACCCCAACUUGCACAUUAUUGAAAGCUGACUAUUGGCCAGCUUCUGUGUUGGGGCCCUUACCCCAACUUGCACAUUAU